GGGAUUACGAACACUCGAUACGAAUCGUAUCCGCCAUGUUUUCCCGUAAGGCGCUAUGGGAAAACAUGGCGGAUACGAUGCGUAUCGAGUGUACGUAAUCCGGGCCCUGAUAAAAGAGAGAUUUGAAAGAGAAAAAUAUUUCCAGUGUGUUCCAAUGCAGGAGAACAAUUUAUGAAGAAUCUUAAUCCAGGAUUGCAACAAUUAAUAGAUGGUAUUUUGGAAGGCACCCACCAAUAAAUGUUACCACAUCCUUCAACUACAAGAUCUUGGCACAGUAUAAACUGUGAUCUUGGCUCAAAACGAUUAACUAUGAAUCAGCCAUAUCCUCUGAGGCCAUUGAAACUGUUAAGAGACUCAUUCAAAUAGGGCGAGAUAAAAAACUGUUCUUCAUCAGUUUGGUUCUCGUUGACAUCUCAAUUAGCAGUCAGAGUGUGUGGAAUAGUGUAAAUUAUAAGGAAUACCUUGAUUUAGGAAUGUCCAAUGAAAGCUCGAAUGAUAAUGCACCUUUAUCAUCAUAUGCCUUGAUUUUUAUGAUUGUAUGCAUCAAUAGUUUUUUCCAAAAACCCAUUGCCGAUUAUUUUACAAAUUUUCUAACAACUGAGCAAUUAGUAACUCAAACUAAAUCAAUUAUCACUGAAUGCUUUUUGAAUGACAUCAAUAUUUGCACUACAACUUUCGUUGGGCCUGCAUCAAAUGUUAUUAUGGGAGAAGAACUUAGAACUAAUAUUUGACUCAUAUGCUUCAUUCAAGUACUUCAAUAAAUAUGAGAUUUUUAUAACUUAAGAUACGUAUCAUAUGUUGAAGUUAAUCCGUAAUCAAAUUGCAUCAUGAUAUAUAACCGAUAAGGAUGAUAAAGUUAUAUCUUGGUGCUAUAUUAAUUCUUUGCAUCGUUUACAUUAAUCGGAAAAAUGCACUCUACUACAAAAAUUAAUAAACAUUUAUUUUUUAACAGCGAAAAAAUGAAGGUUUUUCUGGUGGUGCAGAUGCUCUCGAAUUUUGUGAAUUCGAUUUAGAGCUUGAGGAGUUUAAAGGUGCUAGUGCAACAGCUCGAUUUUGUUUAAUUAUUGAUCACUAUUUUGAUCGUUUAACACAAUAAAUUUGUUGAACAAAAAACCACCUAUAACUAAAAGUAAUUUAGAAGAAAUGCAUGUAAAAAUAGAAAGAUACGUAAAUUAUAUUAAGAGCCUAAAAAUUGGCGAUGUAUCCAGAAUUUCUUGUAUGUUCUAGCAACAAAAUUAUUCAAAAAAAUAGUUAGUGCAAUGUUUAUUACAUACAAAUUGUUGUAUAAAAAAAAUAAGACCAUAUAGAAAUGUUUUAUUCUUAUAUUAGAAAUGACAGUGGUUUUAACAAUAAUUAACUCCCAUGCAAUUAUUAAAGUUCCUUUAUCUGCCAAGUGUAGCAUCUCCAAAAGAUGACAACUGCUCAGAAAAACCAAAACAAAGAUGAUAAACCUGACAUUGUCAAUGGCCUAAAGGGAAUUCCUGAGAUUGAAGAGAAUUUAGAUAAUAUCAGCAAUCAUGCAGGAUGUAAUAUCUUAUAUUUCUGGUUCUGCUGUUAAAAGAUAAAAAUUACAUGUAAAUAAUUUCUUAAAAGCAUUGAGCUCGAUGAGAAAAGUACCAUAUUCAUCUUUGCAAAGUAGAAAAAGUUACGGAACUAUAACUUAAGCAACCAAAAAUAUUAUUUGCCAAGUAGCAGAGAUAAUUUUUUGGGCUCAAAAUAUAUUUUUUUUUUGAAAAACAUGCUUGAAAUAAUGACUUUGUUUGAUUUAUUAAGUACAUAAAUCAAUGUUUGCUACUGAUAAUAGGUUUGUUCGUAGAACGAUCAGCAACCGUUGCCAACCGUCAGACGCAAGCGUGUUCGUAGUCUAUGAACUCGAACUGUUAACUGCGCAUGCAUCUGAUGGUUGGCAACGGUUGCUGAUCGAUUGGAUCGUACUACGAACAAACCUAUUGUUUACAAUCAAGCCCAUAUAGCCAACUGACCAACUAUUGCAAGUAAUUAGAUUACCUAAUUUAAAAAAAAAUAUGAUACCUAUGAUAAAGUUGCAUUAUAGAGCUACAAGUUUGAAAAAGAAUGAAGAAAUAAUAAGUUGUUAUUAUUUAAGAAUCAAUAAUUUAAAUAUUUUUUGUUCAAAGCUUUAUUUUAAUUUUUUUCGAUUUUCUGAAUUUUUGUAUUUUGUGUAUUAAAAGGAAUAAAACUAAAAUUCUACUGUU